rnacentral:rRNA from 1 species
UACGUAGGGUGCAAGCGUUGUCCGGAAUUAUUGGGCGUAAAGAGCUUGUAGGCGGUUUGUCGCGUCUGCUGUGAAAUUUCGGGGCUCAACCCCGAACCUGCAGUGGGUACGGGCAGACUAGAGUGUGGUAGGGGAGACUGGAAUUCCUGGUGUAGCGGUGAAAUGCGCAGAUAUCAGGAAGAACACCAACGGCGAAGGCAGCUCGCUGGGACGGUACUGACGCUGAGACGCGAAAGCGUGGGGAGCGAACAGG